rnacentral:rRNA from 1 species
GGUUGCGAUCAUACCAGCACUAAUGCACCGUAUCCCAUCAGAACUUUGCAGUUAAGCGUGCUUGGGCGAGAGUAGUACUAGGAUGGGUGACCCCCUGGGAAGUCCUCGUGUUGCAACCCC